UACGUAGGGAGCAAGCGUUGUCCGGAAUCAUUGGGCGUAAAGCGCGCGUAGGUGGCUUCGUAAGUCCGUUGUGAAAGUCAAAGGCUCAACCUUUGAAAGCCGAUGGAUACUGCGGAGCUAGAGUACGGAAGAGGCGAGUGGAAUUCCUGGUGUAGCGGUGGAAUGCGCAGAUAUCAGGAGGAACACCAAUAGCGAAGGCAGCUCGCUGGGACGUUACUGACACUGAGGCGCGAAAGCGUGGGGAG
rnacentral:rRNA from 1 species